CCAAUAGCGUAUAUUAAAGUUGUUGCAGUUAAAAAGCUCGUAGUUGAAUUUCGGGAUUUGCUCAUCGGUCACGUCUUCCCGGGCGUGUGCUGGUGAUGCUAAUCCCUCUCUCCUAGCGAACUGUUAUGUCUUUCAUUAGGUGUGACGGGGAACUAGGACUGUUACUUUGAAGAAAUUAGAGUGUUUAAAGCGGGCUUACGCUUGAAUAGAUUAGCAUGGAAUAACGGAAUAGGACGGCAUGAUCCUAUUUUGUUGGUUUCUAGGGUCACCGUAAUGAUUAAUAGGGAUAGUUGGGGGCAUUAGUAUUCAAUUGUCAGAGGUGAAAUUCUUGGAUUUAUUGAAGACUAACUACUGCGAAAGCAUUUGCCAAGGAUGUUUUCAUUAAUCAAGAACGAAAGUUAGGGGAUCGAAGACGAUCAGAUACCGUCGUAGUCUUAACCAUAAACUAUGCCGACUAGGGAUCGGAUGAUGUUAAUUUUUUAAUGACUCA
rnacentral:rRNA from 1 species